CGGUGUCGCAAUAGCAACGACCGCCGGAACUUACUCAGCAUAUUUGGAAAUAUGGAAUUUACCGUGAGAUAUGCCAAUUAAGCAAUCAAUUUUAAAUAUAAAUAGGAUGUUUUCCAAUAAAAAGCACAGUAGUAUUAUAAUAAAUUUAAGCACGUUACUCUGUCCGUUUAAUUUUUGAAUAAAUAUAAUUUAAAGUAAAAAUAUUGUUUUUAAAAAUAUAAAAGAGUUUUUCAAGUUUUAACAUAUAUUUUGCAAAUUGGAAGGGAUUUAACUGAAAAACAACUUAAAAAGAAAAUCCAAAAUAUAAAGACCGAGUUGAAGAAAAAGACGGACAAAACUGCAACGGGAAAUAAGAAAAUUGGCGCUAAUGGAAGGACAAAACGGACGAAAACCCUGCUUUUCAAAAAGUACCAGGAGCAAUAUCUGUGGAACAACCUCAGCCAUCAACGUCCAAAACUGAAGAAUUUAUUCCACCUCCACCUCAUGUUCGGCGUUUACCUGAUAAGUGUCCAGUUACCAAAAAAUCCAAAUUUAAGGAAACAGACGAAACCUCAAAUUUGUCCGAUACUGAGCUUCAACGACUGGUAUUGUUGGAACAGCUGGAACUAAUAAGGGUUCAAAAGGAAAAGGAAAAAUUAUUGUUGGAAAAAAUACAAAAAGAAAAUGGAGAUCAAUUUGUAGAAAUAAAUAAUGUGUUGUUCAGAAAGUUGUAACUAAAGGAAUAAAUUGUUUUCGUUG